CAGCAGCCGCGGGAAUACGUAGGUGGCAAGCGUUGUCCGGAAUUAUUGGGCGUAAAGGGCUCGCAGGCGGUCUCUUAAGUCUGAUGUGAAAGCCCCCGGCUCAACCGGGGAGGGUCAUUGGAAACUGGGAAACUUGAGUGCAGAAGAGGAGAGUGGAAUUCCACGUGUAGCGGUGAAAUGCGUAGAGAUGUGGAGGAACACCAGUGGCGAAGGCGACUCUCUGGUCUGUAACUGACGCUGAGGAGCGAAAGCGUGGGGAGCGAACAGGAUUAGAUACCCGAGUAGUCCCUGUCUCUUAUAC
rnacentral:rRNA from 1 species